CUGGCGGCGUGCUUAACACAUGCAAGUCGAGCGGUAAGGCCCUUCGGGGUACACGAGCGGCGAACGGGUGAGUAACACGUGAGCAACCUGCCCCUGACUCCGGGAUAAGCCGGGGAAACCCGGUCUAAUACCGGAUGGGACGCCUCGUCGCAUGGCGGGGUGUGGAAAGGUGUCUUUCCGGUCAGGGAGGGGCUCGCGGCCUAUCAGCUUGUUGGUGGGGUGAAGGCCUACCAAGGCGAUUACGGGUAGCCGGCCUGAGAGGGCGACCGGCCACACUGGGACUGAGACACGGCCCAGACUCCUACGGGAGGCAGCAGUGGGGAAUAUUGCGCAAUGGGCGGAAGCCUGACGCAGCGACGCCGCGUGGGGGAUGACGGCCUUCGGGUUGUAAACCUCUUUUACCACCGACGCAGGCCCGCGCUUCUGUGCGGGUUGACGGUAGGUGGGGAAUAAGGACCGGCCAACUACGUGCCAGCAGCCGCGGUAAUACGUAGGGUCCGAGCGUUGUCCGGAAUUAUUGGGCGUAAAGAGCUCGUAGGUGGCGUGUCGCGUCUGCUGUGUAAGUCCGGGGCUUAACUCCGGUUUUGCAGUGGAUACGGGCAUGCUAGAGGUAGGCAGGGGAGACUGGAAUUCCUGGUGUAGCGGUGAAAUGCGCAGAUAUCAGGAGGAACACCGGUGGCGAAGGCGGGUCUCUGGGCCUUACCUGACGC
rnacentral:rRNA from 1 species